GUUGGAUCCUUGCAGUUUCAUCACACUCGUGAAUCGUGCAUGCACGGUCGUGGGCACGUACGUACGUCUAGUCCGUCGAUGGUGGAGGUGCAAGGAACUAUGGCACGGCCGGCACACCGGGAACAGACGGCGUCGGCGGCAGUGGCACCUUGGGCACGCCAGGAACGGACGGCAUCGGAGGCAAUGGCACCUUGGGCAGGUCGGGGACGGACGGCAUCGGCGGCAGUGGCACCUUGGGCAGGUCGGGGAUGGACGGCAUAGGCGGCAGCGGCACGUUAGGCACGCCGGGGACGGACGGCAUCGGCAACGCCGGCACGCCCGGCACUGUGGGAACCAUCGGCACGCUCGGCGCAGUGGGCACGGUCGGCACAGCGGCGCCGGGUACUGCCGGCAGCGGCACCGUCGGCACGCCUGGCACAGU
rnacentral:lncRNA from 1 species